AGAGUUUGAUCCUGGCUCAGGACGAACGCUGGCGGCAGGCUUAACACAUGCAAGUCGAACGCUCGUAGCAAUACGGGAGUGGCAGACGGGUGAGUAACGCGUGGGAACAUACCCUCCGGUUCGGAAUAGCUCAGGGAAACUUGGAUUAAUACCGGAUACGGCUGAGAGGCGAAAGAUUUAUCGCCGGAGGAUUGGCCCGCGUUCGAUUAGCUAGUUGGUGAGGUAACGGCUCACCAAGGCGAUGAUCGAUAGCUGGUCUGAGAGGAUGAUCAGCCACAUUGGGACUGAGACACGGCCCAAACUCCUACGGGAGGCAGCUGUGGGGAAUAUUGGACAAUGGGCGCAAGCCUGAUCCAGCCAUGCCGCGUGAGUGAUGAAGGCCUUAGGGUUGUAAAGCUCUUCGCUCGG
rnacentral:rRNA from 1 species